rnacentral:rRNA from 1 species
UAGGGAAUCUUCCGCAAUGGACGCAAGUCUGACGGAGCAACGCCGCGUGAGUGAAGAAGGAUUUCGGUUCGUAAAACUCUGUUGUUAGAGAAGAACAGCGCAUAGAGUAACUGUUAUGCGUGUGACGGUAUCUAACCAGAAAGCCACGGCUAACUACGUGCCAGCAGCCGCGGUAAUACGUAGGUCCCGAGCGUUGUCCGGAUUUAUUGGGCGUAAAGCGAGCGCAGGCGGUUAGAAAAGUCUGAAGUUAAAGGCAGUGGCUCAACCAUUGUAGGCUUUGGAAACUGUUUAACUUGAGUGCAGAAGGGGAGAGUGGAAUUCCAUGUGUAGCGGUGAAAUGCGUAGAUAUAUGGAGGAACACCGGUGGCGAAAGCGGCUCUCUGGUCUGUAACUGACGCUGAGGCUCGAAAGCGUGGGGAGCGAACAGG